UAAAUGAAAAACAAAUAGUUAGAGGAUAUAUUAAUCACUUAUAAUACUAUUUGUGUGUGGGUAAAGCUGGGAAAUCCUUUCAUAAUAUAGUAUGUUCUGUUUUUGUGUUAACUGACAAUAGCUAACGAGACCGAUUUUAAAAGAAUGUCAACCGUUUCAAUACAGUUAUGCCUAUUAUUCAUUAUUACACUAAGUCUACCAUGUUCAACACAAUGGGCACAUACCUUUGGAUGGGGAGGUGCUGGAAAUGGAAAACGCUCAGAGUCAUCGUAUCAACAUUGCCAAACCGACUCGGAUGUCUUGAGAAUUGUUUCUCAAUUAAUACAGCUUGAAGCAAAAAGACUAAAAGCAUGUGAACAGAAAAAUUUCAAGUCAGCAGUACUUAUGCCGGAUUACGAGUAAGGAUGGAGCAAAGAAAUAUGAAACAUUUUACCUAUUUGUUAUCACAAUGACCAGUUCAACGAAAUAACUUCUUACAAGAUUACAGAUUGGAGAUCCUUUUUGUGUUUUUAAACAUUACAAGAUGCUACGUUGUAUGUGUAGUUUUAUUUAAAGUUUGGGUAAUCAACGAAGAAUGAGAUCUUUAUUUUUUACAAUUCUCUAUUUUUUUUAAAUUCAUGUCUACACCGCACACAAUAGAAUAUGCUUUCAAUCAAAAUUUAUUGAAUCAUUUCAAAUGAUUAAUGUUAUGUUAAGCAUUUUAGUGUGUUUUGUUUUACAUUACGUAUUAUACUUUUGUUUUAAAAUUCAAGAUUCACUGAACAUGUUGUGUCACUUAAUAUGACUGCUAUAUAUAAUCAGUGAAUAUAUACUAUAUCUGUAUAAAGUAAUCACAUUCAAUUGGAGUAAAACGUGCUCUUCAGGAAAAAACAUUACAUAUUUUUUUUAAUUAAGUAAUUAACUGUAGUAAAGACUAGUUCUAAAUAUGUAUAAUCAAAUAUUUUGUGCGUAUUCUUAAAGAUUUCAAGGACAAAUAAUUUUGCU